GUAGGUGCAAGCGUUGUCCGGAAUUAUUGGGCGUAAAGCGCGCGCAGGUGGUUCUUUAAGUCUGAUGUGAAAGCCCCCGGGCUCAACCGGGGAGGGUCAUUGGAAACUGGGGAACUUGAGUGCAGGAGAGGAAAGUGGAAUUCCACGUGUAGCGGUGAAAUGCGUAGAUAUGUGGAGGAACACCAGUGGCGAAGGCGACUUUCUGGCCUGUAACUGACACUGAGGCGCGAAAGCGUGGGGAGCAAACAGGAUUAGAUACCCUGGUAGUCCACGCCGUAAACGAUGAGUGCUAAGUGUUGGGGGGUUUCCGCCCCUCAGUGCUGCAGCUAACGCAUUAAGCACUCCGCCUGGGGAGUACGGUCGCAAAGACUG
rnacentral:rRNA from 1 species